GACGAACGCUGGCGGCGUGCUUAACACAUGCCAGUCGAACGGAAAGGCCCUGCUUAUGUGGGGUGCUCGAGUGGCGAACGGGUGAGUAACACGUGAGUAACCUGCCCUUGACUUUGGGAUAACUUCAGGAAACUGGGGCUAAUACCGGAUAGGAGCUCCUGCUGCAUGGUGGGGGUUGGAAAGUUUCGGCGGUUGGGGAUGGACUCGCGGCUUAUCAGCUUGUUGGUGGGGUAGUGGCUUACCAAGGCUUUGACGGGUAGCCGGCCUGAGAGGGUGACCGGCCACAUUGGGACUGAGAUACGGCCCAGACUCCUACGGGAGGCAGCAGUGGGGAAUAUUGCACAAUGGGCGGAAGCCUGAUGCAGCAACGCCGCGUGCGGGAUGACGGCCUUCGGGUUGUAAACCGCUUUCGCCUGUGACGAAGCGUGAGUGACGGUAAUGGGUAAAGAAGCACCGGCUAACUACGUG
rnacentral:rRNA from 1 species